rnacentral:rRNA from 1 species
UACGUAGGGUGCAAGCGUUGUCCGGAAUUAUUGGGCGUAAAGAGCUCGUAGGCGGUUUUGUCGCGUCUGCUGUGAAAAACGCGAGGCUCAACCUCGCGCCUGCAGUGGGUACGGGCAGACUAGAGUGCGGUAGGGGGAGAUUGGAAUUCCUGGUGUAGCGGUGGAAUGCGCAGAUAUCAGGAGGAACACCGAUGGCGAAGGCAGAUCUCU